rnacentral:rRNA from 1 species
GCAAAGUUGACUCAGGUUCAUUGUGUGAAUGACUAUCAUGCAAGUGCAUUAGCAAUGUGGUUGUUCUUCAGCCCACUGCAGUCUUGGUGGAGUUUCUGCCCUAUCAGCUGUUGAUUGUCUGUGAGUGUCCUGCAAUGGCCUUGACGGGUGACGGAGAACAAGGGUUUGAUUCCGGAGAGGGAGCCUGAGAAACGGCUACCACAGCCAAGGAUGGCAGCAGGCGUGCAAAUUGCCCAAUAUCAAUUCCUAUGAUGAGGCAGCAACAAAGAAUGACAACCUGUCUAGGGCUCUAGCCCAAACAGGUUUUGUGAUGGGUGUUAUCCAAACCAAACAGCGAGUAUCAAUUUGUGGGCAAGUCUGGUGCCAGCAGCCGCGGUAAUUCCAGCAUGAAGAGUGUAUACCAACAUUGCUGCUGUUAAAAAGCUCGUAGUUGACUGCUGAGAUGCAUGGUGGGUUACUGUCCCUGUGCUCUGUCCUAGAUUGCUUUGGCUUUCUCUGCUGGCAUGGGUGUGCAGUGGCUCUCUGCACUCGCCUACACAUGCAAAUGAUCUCCCUGCAAAGGCCUCCUUGACUUUGGGGGCUGAUGUGGCUACCUCAAGUAACACUUGUGUGCACAUGGGUGAUCUCUCACUCAAGGGAGCGUGCAUGGCUGUCACCAUGAACAAAACAGCAUGCCCAAGGUGGCUGAUAAGUCGGCGGAAUGUCCUAGCAUGGAAUGACAAGUGAUCAACCAGUGGAUUGUGUGUUCUAUUGGCCUUAUCCAUCCACAUGGGGAACUACUGUGCUCCACCACUUGGCCCUGGUCAGGUGUGUGUCACAGCCUGUGGUAACAAUGGAAGAGCUCAGGGCUAUGUGCAUUACACUGCGAGAGGUGAAAUUCUCAGACCUGCUUGAGGCAAACAGAAGCAAAGGCGCCAGGCAAAGUCAAGUUUGCCAAUCAAGAACGAGAGUGUGGGGAACAAAGAUGAUCAGAUACCGUUGUAGUCCACUGGCUGUAAACCAUGCCAGCUCGGUCCUGGUGUUGGAUUCUUGUCUGGCAACCACAUCAGGACCAUCUCCCCCUUUAUCGAGAAAUCCAAGCCUGUGGGUUCAGGGGGGAGUACCCUUGCAAGAGGGAAACUUAAAGGAAUUGACGGAAUGACACCACAAGGUGUGGAGUUUGCGGCUUAAUUUGACAACACGGGAAAUGUUACCAGGCCAACACAAGGUGAGGAUGGACAGGCUGAUAGCCCUUUCUUGAUUCCUUGAACGGUGGUGCAUGGCCGCUUCUGGUUGGUGGAGUGAUUUGUCUGGCUGAUUCCGUUAACGAGCGAGAUCUUGGCUUCCCAUUGGUUGCUAGCCCCAUUGUGUAGGGUGAUCCUU